rnacentral:rRNA from 1 species
AGGACGAACGCUGGCGGCACGCUUAACACAUGCAAGUCGAACGGAGUAAGACGGUGCUUGCACUGACUUAACUUAGUGGCGGACGGGUGAGUAACACGUGAGCAACCUGCCUUUGAGAGCGGAAUAGCUUCUGGAAACGGAUGGUAAUACCGCAUGACAUUACCGGACCGCAUGAUCUGGUAAUCAAAGAUUUAUCGCUCAAAGAUGGGCUCGCGUCUGAUUAGAUAGUUGGUGGGGUAACGGCCUACCAAGUCGACGAUCAGUAGCCGGACUGAGAGGUUGAACGGCCACAUUGGGACUGAGACACGGCCCAGACUCCUACGGGAGGCAGCAGUGGGGAAUAUUGCACAAUGGGCGGAAGCCUGAUUGCAGCGAUGCCGCGUGGAGGAAGAAGGUUUUCGGAUUGUAAACUCCUGAUCUGAGGGACGAUAAUGACGGUACCUCAGGAGAAAGUUCCGGCUAACUACGUGCCAGCCGCCGC